rnacentral:lncRNA from 10 species
CUCCAAAAAGAGUGUUACCAACCUGCUGAAUCAAAAGAAAAGUUUAACUCUACAAGAUGAAUCCGCUCAUCACAACUCAGAGUCAACAAAAAGAGUGUUUCCAACCUGCUGAAUCCAAAGGAAGGUUUAACUCUGUGAGAUGAAUCCAGUCAUCACAAAGCCCUGUCACAAAAACUUCUCUUCUUGUUUUUAUCUGGGGAUGUUCGGGGUUUUUCCAUAGGUCUUAAUGGGCUCCGAAUUAUCCCUUCAGAUUCUUCAAAAAGAGUACUUCCAGCUGACUGAAUCAAAAGAAAGGUUCAACUCUCUGAAAUGAAUCCACACAUCACAAAGUAGUUUCCCAGACAGUUUAUUUCUUGUUUUUAUGUGGGUAUAUUCAGUUUUUCUCCAUAGACUUCAAUAGGCUCCGAAAUUUCCCCUUGCAUAUUCUACAAAAAGAGUGUUUCCAACGCGCUGAAGCAAAAGAAAGGUUUAGUUAUUUGAGAUGAAUCUGUACAUCACAAAGGAGUUUCACAAACAGCUUCUUUCUUUUUUUUAGUUAGGGAUAUUCUGUUUUUUCCAUAGGAUUCUUGGGCUCCCAAAUCUCCCUUCACGGAUUGUACAAAAAAGGUGUUCCAAUCUUCUGAAUCAAAAGAAAGGUUUAACCCUGUGCAAUAAAGUAACAUAUCACAAAGCAGUUUCACAGAUAGCUUCUUUCUAGUUUUUAUCUGGGGAUAUUCAGUUUUACCCAUAGGCCUAAAUGGGCUUCCAAAUGUCCCUUCACAGAUUCAGCAACAAGAAUGUUUCCAAACCGUUGAACCUAAAAAAAGGUUUAACUCUAUGAGAUGAAUGGACACAUCACAAAGCAGUUUCACAGAUAGCUUAUUUCUUGUUUUUAUCUGUGGAUAAUCUGUUAAUCACAAUAGGCCUGGUUUCCCAAAUGUCCCUCCACAGAUUGUACAAUAAAAGUGUUUCCAACCUCCUGAAUCAAAAGAAUUCUCUAACUCUGUGAGAUGAAUCCACAUAUCAUAACGCAGUGUCCCAGAUAGCUUCUCUGUAGUUUGUAUAAAGGGACAUUCACUUUUUCCCCAUAGGCCUCAAUGGGAUCCCAAAUGUCCCUUCACUGAUUCUGCAAAAAGAGUGUUUCCACCCUGCUGAAUAAAAAGAAAGGUUCAACUCUGUGAGAUGAAUCCACUCAUCACAAAGCAGUUAAACUUAAAGCUUCUUCCAAAUUUUUACAUGGGAAUAUUCGUUUUAUUCCUAUAGGCAUCAGAGGGCUCCCAAAUGUCCCUUUGCAGAUUCUACAAAAAGGGUCUUUCUACCAUGCUGAAUAGAAAGGAAGGUUUAACACUGUGAGAUGAAUCCACACGUCCCAAAGCAGUUUCACAGAUAGCUUUUUCUAGUUUUUAUCUGGGGAUAUUUUCUUUACCCCCAUAGUCCUCAAUGUGCUCUCAAAUUUCCCUUUACAGCUACUCCAAAAAGAAAGUUUCCAAAGUGCUGAAUCAAAACAAAGGUUUAACACUGUGAGAGGAAUGCACAGAUCACAGAGCAUUUUCACAGGUAGCUUCUUUCUUGUUUUUAUCUGUGGUUAAUCUGUUAUUCACCAUGGGACAGAAUGGGCUCCCAAAUGUUUCCUCACAUAUUGUACAAAAAGAGAGUUUCCAAGCUGCUGAAUCAAAAGAAUGCUUUAACUCUGUGAGGUGAAUCCACACAUAAUAAAG